rnacentral:rRNA from 1 species
UCGAACGAAGUGCCAGAUGGCGCGGUAAUCCGGAGGGUGAGUGUGUUAAUCGGUAUGACUGUGCGUAAAGCGUGCGCAGGCGGUUUUGUAAGGCAGAUGUGAAGUCCCCGGGCUCAACCUGGGAACUGCAUUUGAGACGGCCAGGCUGGAGUGUGGCAGAGGGGGGUGGAAUUCCACGUGUAGCAGUGAAAUGCGUAGAGAUGUGGAGGAACACCAAUGGCGAAGGCAGCCCCCUGGGUCGAUACUGACGCUCAUGCACGAAAGCGUGGGUAGCAAACAGGAUUAGAUACCCUAGUAGUC